rnacentral:snoRNA from 1 species
UGGCGAGCACACGCGCCCUAUAGCGAAAAUCUCUCCAAAAGAAAAAGAACAACAUGGAGGGACUUUGACAACCCAGGUCACACUGUACCUACAGGUGCCACUCACCUUUCCUAUAAAC